rnacentral:rRNA from 1 species
CACGGAAGUUUUCAGAGAUGAGAAUGUGCCUUCGGGAACCGUGAGACAGGUGCUGCAUGGCUGUCGUCAGCUCGUGUUGUGAAAUGUUGGGUUAAGUCCCGCAACGAGCGCAACCCUUAUCCUUUGUUGCCAGCGGUCCGGCCGGGAACUCAAAGGAGACUGCCAGUGAUAAACUGGAGGAAGGUGGGGAUGACGUCAAGUCAUCAUGGCCCUUACGACCAGGGCUACACACGUGCUACAAUGGCGCAUACAAAGAGAAGCGACCUCGCGAGAGCAAGCGGACCUCAUAAAGUGCGUCGUAGUCCGGAUUGGAGUCUGCAACUCGACUCCAUGAAGUCGGAAUCGCUAGUAAUCGUGGAUCAGAAUGCCACGGUGAAUACGUUCCCGGGCCUUGUACACACCGCCCGUCACACCAUGGGAGUGGGUUGCAAAAGAAGUAGGUAGCUUAACCUUCGGGAGGGCGCUUACCACUUUGUGAUUCAUGACUGGGGUGAAGUCGUAACAAGGUAACCGUAGGGGAACCUGCGGUUGGAUCAC